rnacentral:lncRNA from 10 species
UUAUCAAUAAUAACCACUUAUAUUUAUUAAAUCAUUAAUAUUUUCUAAGUACUAUUCUAAAACCUUUAUGUUUUACAGAUGAGGAUACCUACUUUCAAAGAGUUGAAGUAACUUGGCCAAGGUUACAUAACUAGUUAGUGAUGAAGCUAGGAAUCUUGCCCCAGGAUGUUGGACUAGACAAUCCAAAUUCCAAUUUAACUAUAAAGACUUUAAAGGAGUUUCUGCCACAACAACCCUUGGACAUCCUAGGGCUUAUUACAAGAGUAACCGUCUCUCUUUUAAAGUAACCUAUGCACCCAGCUUCCUCCCAGCGGGGUAGAAUUUCUCACCUGGGAAGCCUAGCGAUUAUCUCUGGUUUGCACACACAAAAAACACAUGGAUCAUUUGAGAUUCUCAAUUGGCUGUGAUGGUAAAUCAUUAUUUUUAAAAAUAGAUUCAGUACACAGAGGUCUUAUCUGCAUGGUUCUAUAUUUCACUGCUAUUUUUUAUCUUUAAAUAUUAUUAAUCAUAUGAGCAAGUUAGCAAAGCACUUUCACAUAUAUUUCUUUCACAGUCAAUACAAUUGCCUGUUUUGGAUGAAAAGACAGACUUAUUCUGUGAUUUUCUCAAAAGCACACAGAUAAUAAGUGGUUACAUUGGUGUUUGAACUUCAAAAUCUCUUCUUUGCAAUCUUCCCAUCUCCAACAUGUGGUUGGCCACAGAUACAGGUAAAUUUAUGUGAAUCAUCAAGUAAUAAGAAUCCCGACUUCCUUUGGCUGACUGCUUUGCUGCACUUUAGAAGCUCAGGUUGCAAAGUUUAGAUCAUUGAAUUCACCAUUCCUCCUCUUACUUCACCAGUUUCAUCCUCCACUGUUUGGAGUACCUUUUUUUUUGUUUUUUUGUUUGUUUUUGUUUUGAGACGGAGUUUCGCUCUUGUUGCCCAGGCUGGAGUGCAAUGGCCGACGACUCACCGCAACCUCCACCUCCCAGGUUCAAGCGAUUCUCCUGCCUCAGCCUCCUGCGUAGCUAGAAUUACAGGCAUGCGCCACCACACCCAGCUAAUUUUGUAUUUUUAGUAGAGACAGGGUUUCUCCAUAUUGGUCAGGCUGGUUUUGAACUCCCGACCUCAGGUGAUCUGCCCACAUUGGUCUCCCAAAGUACUGGGAUUACAGGUGUGAGCCACCAUGCCCGGCCUUGGAGUACCUUUAAUAGGUGGUAGUCCAGCCUCCAAAGGUAGCUGUGAUGGUCAAUUUUACGUGUCAACUUGUCUGGGCCACAGCAUGCCCAAGUAGCUGGCUAAACAUUAUUUCUGGAUGUAUCUGUGGUGUUUCUGGAAGAAAUUAGCAUUUGGAUUAGUGCACUGGCAAAGCAGAUGGCGUUCCCCAAUGUACAAUGUGCGUGGGCAUCACCCAAUCCAUGGAGGGCCCAAGUGUGUCUGUGACCUCUCCUCCACAAUAUUCUCUGAUGAAGGGGUACAGCUUUUCUGCAAUCUAUGAAAAUAUAGAGAGGACC